GACGAACGCUGGCGGCAUGCCUAAUACAUGCAAGUCGAACGCUGAAGCACUCUGCUUGCAGCGUGCGGUUGAGUGGCGAACGGGUGAGUAACACGUGGGAAAUCUGCCUAUAAGAGGGGGAUAACAUUCGGAAACGGAUGCUAAUACCGCAUAUAUUCUUGGACCGCCUGGUCCUUGAAUUAAAUACGGCUUUGCUGUCUCUUAUAGAUGAUCCCGCGGCGUAUUAGUUAGUUGGUGGGGUAAAGGCAUACCAAGACAAUGAUACGUAGCCGACGUGAGAGGGUGAUCGGACACACUGGGACUGAGACACGGCCCAGACUCCUACGGGAGGCAGCAGUAGGGAAUAUUACACAAUGGGCGAAAGCAUGAUGGAGCAAUGUCGCGUGAAUGAAGAAGGUCUUCGGAUCGUAAAGUUCUGUUAUUAGAGAAGAACAAGUAAAGGAGUAACUGUCUUGACUUUGACGGUACCUAAACAGAAAGUCACGGCUAACUACGUG
rnacentral:rRNA from 1 species